rnacentral:lncRNA from 1 species
ACACAUUUUAGAAAUUCUGGUUUAACAAAUUAAAUGUCUUUAUUGCUGGGUCUUUAGUGGGUUUGAGGAGCUUAUUUGCAUGACUUUCUAGGUGAGGAAUAGAGUAUACUGCUUUUCUCUAAGUGAUUUGGCCAUGGAAUCUUUUGAAUCAGAAAUCAUUUUGCUGGAUUUGCUGGGAUCCUUGGAACCCACCUUAGGAAAUACCAGUUUACAGCCUUGGAUUACCCUGGUUCUGUCCUUUGGCAUCUUCAUUUUGCAUUAUCCAGAGCUGUUUGUCUUGUGGGCACCCUCCAGGCUCUUUAAGCUAUUGUUAAUGACUCUGUUCUAAUUCCAAGAAACUUUUAACUUAAUGGGAUGAUAACUUGGUAUAUUAAUUAACAUUCUUUUGGUUGCAAACACAAAAAGCAACUCUGGCUAUCUGCUUUUAAGAUUAGGAAGACUCACAGAAUCAUAAGAAUUGCCAAACAAUUGCGAUUUGAAAAGAGAAGGAAUGGGGGCAGUUUAGGGGAUUUCAGCCCCGGGAGGCACUGAAGCUGCCACUCAAAUAACUCUGCUAUGGAAACAUCUCUGUCUGCAUCUUUUUACUCAGAUUUCAGGUUCCUUGGAUGGAGAAUCUUAUUGUCCUUGCAUAAGCCAUGUCUUUGUCUCAGGAUCAUUCAGCCAGGGAAGAGAGGAAACUGCUGUGAUCUGAAUUGCCACUCUGAUGCAUGGCUCCCAUGUCUGCCUUGCAAUGAAAUGCAGACAGCUGAAUUCACAGAGUUUAAUACAUAUUUGAUGCAACUCGACUGUAUACCAGAGAUGGACUAAUAUGAAACUUCCCUGGUGGCUCAGAUAGUACAGAAUCCACCUGAAAUGCAGAAGCCUGGGGUUCAAUCCCUGGGUCAGGAAGAUCCCCUGGAGAAAGGAAUGGCAACCCACUUCAGUAUUCUUACCUGGAGAAUUCCAUGGAUAGAGGAGCCUGGCAGGCUACAGUCUAUAGGGUCACAAAGAACCAAACAUGACUGAGUAACUAACACACUUUAAACAAUAUAAUAGUGUGACACAAACCUUAGAAGUAAGAGUCUAGCAUCCCUCUGGUUAGUUACAAAAAAAAAAAAAAAAAACAUUGGUGAGGUAAUCAUCAAGAAUGGUAUCCCGGAAGAGAGCUUUGAGGGGGCAUUUCUUUAGUCUUGAUUCAACAGCAAUCUAAACUAUUUUUUAAACAAGUUAAAACAGGUUUUCUUCUGCUUCCUGAAAUUCCAAAUUGAAAAGCAAAUGAGGCAUUAAAAAAAAAAUUAAGCCUCAAAAGUCUUCAGUACCUACUACUAUGCUAUACUGUGGGGCUUUAUUUGAAUAUAUUUUGCUUUUAUUGCUUUGUGCUUUUUCCUGUCUGUGAUUUACAAAGUAGUGUGGGAAAACAGUUAAUACCGAAUAAAAGUUAAAAUUAAAACCA